rnacentral:rRNA from 1 species
AUGUGUGUACCUAAAGACAUAGGUGGUAUGGGAUUCCGAGAUAUCCAAAGCUUUAACUUAGCAAUGUUGGCCAAGCAAUGUUGGAGGCUUAUUGAUAAUUAUGAAUCUCUUUGUGCAAGAGUGCUACGUGCACGAUACUAUCCUUCUGGGGAUAUAUUAAAUUGUGAAUUGAAGAAAGGAUCCUCUUACGUACGGCAGAGUAUUUGGGCAGGGAUCCAAACUUUCAAAAAAGGUUGUAUUUGGCAAGUCAGAGAUGGAUCAAAAAUUAGUAUUUGGGAGGACUGCUGGAUUCCCAACAGCCCUUCUAGGAAAAUCAUCACAGUUCGGGGGAAUAGAGUUUUGACAAAGGUAAAUGAGUUGAUUGAUCCGGCUUCUGGUGAAUGGGAUGAUGAGCUCAUAAGAGAUAAUUUUUGGCAUAUAGAUGCGGAUCGUAUUCUCCAAAUACCGAUCCAUCACCAAGUGACCGAGGAUUAUAUUGCAUGGCACUUAACUAAAGGUGUGUUUUCUGUGCGCUCGGACUAUUACAAGCAAUGGGAAGAUAACUAUGCUGCUGAUAUGGCACAGGGAGAGAUGAGUGGUUCAUGUCCGCACCCUGUUUGGAAAAAGCUUUGGAGUUUAAGACUUCCAGGGAAGGUAAAGAUUUUUCUAUGGCGUUGUUUACAUAAUGUGAUUCCGUGUUCGGGUGUUCUCGCAAACCGACAUAUUGGUACAAGCUCACAGUGCCCAGUAUGUAAGCUGGGGUGCGAAGAUAUAUGUCAUAUGCUUUUCAAAUGUGAGCGUGCAAGAGCAGUAUGGACGGCACUGGGAAUUUACAAUGACAUUGCCGAUGCAACACUUGUGGACAGAUCGGGAGCAAGGAUUAUUGAUUUCCUACUGUGUGAUAGGUCCAUUCAGAGACCAUACAUGGAUACAAUUGAACUACCUGAACUGAUUGCGACAACGCUGGUAUCUUUGGUGGCAACGUCGGCAAUAUGUCCGAGGAGAAGAAGUGCAACCGCCUCACGGUACAGCCCCGGCGAUCCAUGCGCUGACAUUGAAUUUCGUAAGAGCUGUAGGAAAGCAACCUGCUACAACACGUCUCAAUAA